rnacentral:tRNA from 2 species
UGGGGUAUCGCCAAGCGGUAAGGCACCGGUUUUUGGUAUCGGCAUGCGGAGGUUCGAAUCCUCCUACCCCAGCCA